ACAGCCUGGCUCACCCGUGCAGGAAGCUACGAAGGUCACCUCUUUAUCAUUGACACAGUGACACUUCACUUCAGGACAAAGAGAAAGAUGAAGGUCUGAGGUGUUCAACAGUGGCCAGGACGGGUCUCCGGCACCCCAGAGGACGAGAUGAUGCGUAGCGGGAAAUGCAUUCGACUGCAUGGAGGGUCUACAAACACAGCUAAAAAAAC